CACGUAGUUAGCCGGGGCUUCUUAGUCAGGUACCGUCAUUUUCUUCCCUGCUGAUAGAGCUUUACAUACCGAAAUACUUCUUCACUCACGCGGCGUCGCUGCAUCAGGGUUCCCCCCAUUGUGCAAUAUUCCCCACUGCUGCCUCCCGUAGGAGUUUGGGCCGUGUCUCAGUCCCAAUGUGGCCGGUCACCCUCUCAGGUCGGCUACUGAUCGUCGGCUUGGUGGGCCGUUACCCCGCCAACUACCUAAUCAGACGCGGGUCCAUCCUGUACCACCGGAGUUUUUCACACCGGACCAUGCGAUCCUGUGCGCUUAUGCGGUAUUAGCAGUCAUUUCUAACUGUUGUCCCCCUGUACAGGGCAGGUUACCCACGCGUUACUCACCCGUCCGCCACUCAGUCAUCCCGGAUUCCAUCCGAAAACUUCCUCCGGCACGCUUCGUUCGACUUGCAUGUGUUAGGCACGCCGCCAGCGUUCAUCCUGAGCCAGGAUCAAACUCU
rnacentral:rRNA from 1 species